GGUAGGCAUUCCCCAUUGUGUUUGAAGUGGGAUACUGUUUUCCCAUUUUGGAGGGGUCAAGUUAUCAUCUCUAACUAUAAAGUCACCUAAACUAAUCUACCAAAAAUAGUUAUGCCAUAACUGUUAAAUUCAAUUCUUCCACCAAAUUGCAGGUCCCAAAGAGUCCUCAAACUUUUAAUGAAAAGUAUAAAUGACAGUGUCACAUGCCCAGACGUGUGAGAGACAUGUGAGACGCACACAUAAAAUGUAGUAAACCAAGUGCCAAUAUGAUAAGCUCACAAUUGAAGUCAAGGUAACCAACAUGAAAAAGCAACAGAAAAUUGUUCUAGUUUCUCUUGCUCCAAUAAAUUUUUAGUUAUCUUUGUAUUGAUAACAUCAUAUGAAACUUGAGCAUAG
rnacentral:misc_RNA from 1 species